rnacentral:lncRNA from 1 species
AAUUUCCAAGAAAGGCUUAAACAUCUACUCAAUCCAUACCUCUGACACUAUCUUCCUGGCCCCAGGGUCCCAUCUUUAAAGAAGGGAAAGAAGAAAGGAGCGGCUUUGAGUCAAGAAGUAGGUCAAUGAUGCCCAUUUUACGGAAGAGGAAACAGAGGCUCUCAGAAGAGAGUGCCCAGUGUUACACAGAGAACGACUGCCGCGUUGGCAUCUGAGGCCUAUUGGGCUGGAGGGCUCCCCGCUCUUUCACCGAUGCUCCCGGGGCAGCUGGGAGGUGCCAGCGGUGUGUCUGCUUGUCUCACAUCCGUUGCCCUGGCCAGGAGGUGGCAGUGGUGGAGCUCCCUUCACUGGCAGCUGCCUCCUCAGCCCCCAGUCCCCUGUCCGCUCUGGGCACUGGCCACCGAGACACCCUACCUCCCCGAAGACUGUGAGGAAGGAAAGGGACACAGCUGGAGUCCCUCCCACACGCCCCAGAGGCCACAGGUCAGAAGGAGGGCAGGAUGUUGCCUUUUUGACCUUUGGGGGCCUGCGUUGAGAGAGGGGCACCAUUCACCCACAGUGACAUACCUGCGAGGAGGUACCGUGGGGCGGGAUGGGGUGCGGUGACUUGCUGGGAAGGAGGUCAAGGGCACCUGGGGAGAGGCAGCGUGCCUCAGUGGGAAGAGCGGACUGGAGGGAGGCAGAGCUGGCUUCCUGCUCUCUCACCAGCCUCUCUCACUGGCUGUGACCUUGGGCAAAUGACUUCAUCUCUCUCAACAGCAACGUGCAGCAGGAAAAGGGAGAAUGACCCCAAUCUCCAAAGCAGUUGGGAGCAUUAACU